GAUGAACGCUGGCGGCGUGCCUAAUACAUGCAAGUCGAGCGAAUGGAUUAAGAGCUUGCUCUUAUGAAGUUAGCGGCGGACGGGUGAGUAACACGUGGGUAACCUGCCCAUAAGACUGGGAUAACUCCGGGAAACCGGGGCUAAUACCGGAUAACACUUUGAACCGCAUGGUUCGAAAUUGAAAGGCGGCUUCGGCUGUCACUUAUGGAUGGACCCGCGUCGCAUUAGCUAGUUGGUGAGGUAACGGCUCACCAAGGCAUCGAUGCGUAGCCGGCCUGAGAGGGUGAUGGGGCAGACUGGGGCUGAGACACGGCCCAGACUCCGGCGGGAGGCAGCAGUAGGGAAUCUUCCGCAAUGGACGAAAGUCUGACGGAGCAACGCCGCGUGAGUGAUGAAGGCUUUCGGGUCGUAAAACUCUGUUGUUAGGGAAGAACAAGUGCUAGUUGAAUAAGCUGGCACCUUGACGGUACCUAACCAGAAAGCCACGGCUAACUACGUGCCAGCCGCCGCAGUAA
rnacentral:rRNA from 1 species